rnacentral:rRNA from 1 species
UACGGAUGGGACUAGCGUUGUUCGGAAUUACUGGGCGUAAAGCGCACGUAGGCGGAUUUGUAAGUCAGGGGUGAAAUCCCGGGGCUCAACCUCGGAACUGCCUUUGAUACUGCAAAUCUCGAGUCCGGAAGAGGUGAGUGGAAUUCCUAGUGUAGAGGUGAAAUUCGUAGAUAUUAGGAAGAACACCAGUGGCGAAGGCGGCUCACUGGUCCGGUACUGACGCUGAGGUGCGAAAGCGUGGGGAGCAAACAGG